rnacentral:piRNA from 1 species
UCCAAUUGAAGUUGCUAGCUUCUGAACC